UGACUUAAACUUAAAUGCUUAGGUUCAAAGCUAAAGACACAGUAGUGUAAAUAUAUAAAUCUUUUUAAAAUAACUUAUUCUAUUCUUAUUAUAUAUAGCUAAUUUAGAAAAUUAUUACACCUUAGAUAUAUGGUUAUAGUCUUCUGUGAAUGAAUUUCCUAAUAGAGUGCCAGCAGGCGUGGUUAGACUGAACAUUUACUUUAGCUCAAUUUUAUUUAAAAUAACUAUUAUGUGGUAGAUAACCAGUAAAAUGGGAAGUAGACUAAAUCAAGUUAAUCAUUAUUAGUCACAUGAAAGACAAGGAUUAGAUACCCUUUUAUGAGUGAUGAAAUAAAAAAGAUAAUUAAAUUACAAAUUCAAACAAUUUGGCGGUAAGAAAAGAACUCAGAGAAACCUAAGUAUUAAUUGGAUGAUCCACCAUCAUACAUUCUUAUUAUAUUUGUUACCUGUAUGUCUGUUUAGUUUAUCGUUAGAUCUUUAGACUAUUAAAUUUAUAAAUAUAAAUUCAGGUCCAUAUAGGGAUUGUUAAUAAGAUAACUCGGGUUGCAUUUAAAACUACUAGUAGCUUAAUCAAUAUUAGCUUAAUUCGGAUUUGAAAGUAAAUAUUUCUGUAAAUAUAUUGAAUUCCUCUUUUCUUAAGUACAAAUCGCCCGUCACCUCUGUUACAAAAUAAACUGAGUAAGUCGAAACAAAGUAGGUUGGCUGGAAGGGUAACCUGUAUG
rnacentral:rRNA from 1 species